rnacentral:rRNA from 1 species
AGCGGCGGACGGGUGAGUAACGCGUGGGUAACCUGCCUCAUACAGGGGGAUAACAGUUAGAAAUGACUGCUAAUACCGCAUAAGACCACGGUACCGCAUGGUACAGUGGUAAAAACUCCGGUGGUAUGAGAUGGACCCGCGUCUGAUUAGGUAGUUGGUGGGGUAACGGCCUACCAAGCCGACGAUCAGUAGCCGACCUGAGAGGGUGACCGGCCACACUUGGGACUGAGACACGGCCCAG